AUACCCCAUAGGCCGAGAGGUUAAAGCAGAGAUGCGCUGGAGGAGGUGCUCGUGCCCUAUCAGCUAGUUGGUGAGGUAACGGCUCACCAAGGCGACGACGGGUAGCCGGCCUGAGAGGGUGAACGGCCACACUGGAACUGAGAUACGGUCCAGACUCCUACGGGAGGCAGCAGUGGGGAAUAUUGGGCAAUGGGAGGAAUCCUGACCCAGCGACGCCGCGUGAACGAUGAAGGCCUUAGGGUUGUAAAGUUCUUUUAUGUGGGAAGAAGGAAGUGACGGUACCACAUGAAUAAGCCCCGGCUAACUACGUGCCAGCAGCCGCGGUAAUACGUAGGGGGCGAGCGUUGUCCGGAAUUACUGGGCGUAAAGGGCACGCAGGCUGUGCUUCAAGUCAGCUGUAAAAGGAUGCGGCUUAACCGUGUUAUGCAGUUGAGACUGAGGUGCUGGAGUACCGGAGAGGCAAGUGGAAUUCCCAGUGUAGCGGUGAAAUGCGUAGAUAUUGGGAAGAACAUCGGUGGCGAAGGCGACUUGCUGGACGGUAACUGACGCUGAGGUGCGAAAGCCAGGGUAGCGAACGGGAUUAGAUACCCCGGUAGUCCUGGCUGUAAACGAUGAAUGCUAGGUGUGCGAGCAGAGAUGUUGGCGUGC
rnacentral:rRNA from 1 species